rnacentral:sRNA from 12 species
UCUUUAAUAAUGGUUAUGACCAUCUCAGUGAAGAUCAACAGCUACUGUUGUGCUGAGACAUCUACCUAUAAAUAAUACUCACAUUCCUGCUUAUCUGAUUAUCUGGGAUACUUGAUAAUAGAUAGAGUGAGUUCUUCUGGUGACAGUUGAACUGAAAUGAUAAACAAUCAGAAAAGGAUGGUAGAUGGUGCAUAGCAUAUAUUUUUAUAGACCACAUUUCUGGCCGUUCACAAAAUAGACGCUCCAGUGGAGAAUAAUCCAAGUUAGGAUGUUGGGAUGCAGGUGGUGCUGCUGUCAGACCUUGGAAAUACCAACAAGUGAAUUUGCAGUGAUGCUUUGGUGACAGAGCUAUAAGACCAGUUUAUGUAAGAGUAGCCAAAUUGCUGCAGCAAUAGUGAGUAGAAGAACAAAGAUGCAUGAUCUUUGCUAUAUGAAUUCUGAAUGUAUGGUGAAAUUGAAAGUAUCAAUCUUUCCAGUGCUUUGUGGGAAACCUUGGGUAAGAAGUUUAGAAGUAGCUAGCUAAGCUCAGACUUAUCUACAUUGUCGGUUAAUAAUAAACUUAUAUGUGUCGUGUAGAAUGAAUAAAAGUUCGGAUCAUAAUUAUUAUUAAG